AGCAGCCGCGGUAAUUCCAGCUCCAAUAGCGUAUAUUAAAGUUGUUGCAGUUAAAAAGCUCGUAGUUGAAUUUCGGGAUCAAAGGAUCGGUCAUGCCUUGGUAUGUACUGGUUUUAUUGGUUCUCACCUUCUAAAGAACCAUAAUGUCAUUCAUUUGAUGUUAUGGGGAAUUAGGACUGUUACCUUGAAAAAUUAGAGUGUUUAAAGCAGGCUUACGCUUGAAUACAUUAGCAUGGAAUAAUGAAAUAGGACAUCAGAUUCUAUUUUGUUGGUUUCUAGGAUCGAUGUAAUGAUUAAUAGGGAUAGUU
rnacentral:rRNA from 1 species